UCCCUGGGGGUCCAGUGGUGAAGACUUUCAAUGCAAGGGAUGCAGGUUCAAUCCCUGCUCGGGGAG
rnacentral:tRNA from 1 species